AUGAGUUCUUGAUGCAGAUAGGUUUCAAACCUACCAUCAGAGGAAAAAGGGAACCAGGCAAUAAGUAGCCCUUGGUUCCCCCUUUCGGAUCCUUAUGGUUCAACUGACCAUUUGUCUGGGUGUUUUCUGGUCACUCAAACAAGAACCGUGGGGACUGUAGCUGUUUUUGUUUCUUUUAAUUAUUUAGUUGUGUUAAGAGUUCUUUUAGAGUGGAACUCUACUUUGUCUGUACUUUUAUUCAGUGGUGUAACUAUGUUACACUCACUCCCAUCAUGGAGUUAUCUUUAUCGUUGUUUUCUUUUAUUUUCCUUAUGGGUUACUCAACCCAUCCAUAAGUGUAAGAGCCUAAGAGCUCCCCCAAGAUUUAUGAAGAAUGAAACUUGAGCUUUGCUUCAAUGGUGCUGUGAGAAACAGAGCUAAUGUGGGAGACAGCAGCAACCUCAGUUGAACUUUAAGGGUGAUCAGGUGGGAAAUCUUAUCUUCUUCCCUGCGAUACCAAGCAAGUGCAGCCACUGAUUCUCAAUUCUUCCUUAGGUUUUCUGUGAGAUUCAAUCAUUAUUUAUCUCGUUAUCUGCUGAACAUAUACCUGAUUACUGAUUACAUUCUGGAAAACAUUUUAAAACAAAUUUGGCUAUGUUUUGUGGCUAGGGGUACCUCUGUUUUUGGGCAUUCUUGUUGAAAAUUUGAUCCGAUCAUCUAAAGAAAUCUAACCCUUAUAUCUAGUUGCUACUUGGAGUUAGUCUCCAGUCCAGCUAGGAGGUUCGACCAAGGUAUGGUCUCCAUCUGAGCUGUUGAUCUGCUAUUCUUGAGAUGGUUCCAUUUGUAGUCCUAUCUUCCUUAUUUUUCCCCCAUAUUAUGGCCUUUCAGAUCAACUCCCAUAUCCUUAACGUGGCUACUUUUCAGGCAUGUAUACAGCUGUUAAAUUGGUGUCCCUUUAUGGUCUUUUUAAAUGUUCAAAUAGUUGUUUUCAGAAGGCACUUUUAUUACCUUAAAUUCUACCUCGAAAACAACCUUCAAAUAAAAUAGACUUGUAGUCCAUAACCUGUCGACAGACUUUACAUAUCCAUUAUGGCAUUCAAUGCUCUAGCAUCGAGCUUGGAACCCAACCGUGCUGUUUGCUAUCUAAUAAAAAACUUCGAUUUGAAAUUGCUCUCCUAUAUCAAAUUUUGGUAUCGGAGAUGGUUCUCUCUCCCUCUCUUGCCUGCACUCACUAUCGACAUAUAUCAUUCUUAACCAUGCGCUUUACAACAGCACACAGAAACUGGGAAGAAACACCCAUUCAAAACACACAUUGAUUUACAAAGAGUUGCUUUUGCUUAUAUAUCUGCUGUCAUUCUCUACCUGUAGAUGACAAAUAUUUAUCUAAUUUUUGCACUUUUAAGAGUUAAGACUAGCUAGUUGUGACAUGGCAUUGCACUUCUUUCUCAUGUAUAUAAUUCUCUGCAAGUCCCCAUUUUUGUCGAAUGAUAUUUCUCUACCAGUUCCUUGAAUUUUUUUUCCCUUCUUAAGAUGAAGGAACCUCUCUCUUCAUAAUCUACAGGUCUGUUAUAAUCAUAUUAUGAUUCUUGUAAGACUUUGUAGGUGCUUCUAGGUAUUGUCAUGGUUGCUUGGUUUAUGGGUAUGAUGGAUUUGCGUGUCAGCUAAGAAGGCUUUCAUUGUGCGACUCCUUUAAUGUCAGUGUAGUUUGACAAUUUGAUUUGUUGUUUCUUUUCUGUAGAGGGAUGAGUGGUAACGUUAGGGAUUCAUGGUGUAGUCCAAGUUCUCAAUUUGUGGAGCUCACAACAGCAGCUAAGAGAAAGGAGUGAGGGGGUCUAAAGCACGGGAAGAUCAGCUCCUAGUUUUAGCAGAAUUUAUCCCAAGCCAGGGUAUUCAGAUCUGCAAGUGGAAGAGAAGAGGACCGGACCAGUUGCCCACUAGCCGUGAUGAACCGCACGCAGCAACUACGGGUGUUGGCCCUUGAGGGCUGGCUGCAGCAGGCUGCAACAAGGCCCUUGGGGCUAUUUGCGGUUUCAGAUUUGAGUAGAUCUGAAAUCAUUUGAGAGAGAGAGAGAGAGAGAGAGAGAGAGAGAGAGAGAGAUGAGAAGGGUCAAUAAGAAGCGGGAGGAGAAGGGAGAGGGAGGAUGAGAGGGAAAGAAAUUGCAAUAAAUUACAAAAGAGAAAGUGGAGAUUGGAGAAAGAGAGUUAUGAGGAAGAUAGGUGAAGGGGACAUCUCUUCAUUCAGUUAUUCAAAAACCUAUUUUACACAUAGGGAUACCAAAUCUAUUUCUCACAAAAAACCACUUUUGUUUAGUAAUUAUCAAACCAUUUUUAUGUUUUGAUAAAAAAUGGUUUUCAUGAGUGCUUUUUGUUAAAUAGACAAAAACAAAAAAGAAAAAUGAUACCAAAGAGGGCCUUAGUUAAUGUCUGUUUUGGAGUCUUGUUCUAAUUAGGAAUUUACAUCUCAGUAGUUUUUUUUUUUCCCUUUAAAGUUUCAUGCCCAAGUUAGUCCUAGUGUAGUAAGAAUUCAAAAUAGCCCUAGCAUGUGUCUUUUCUUUUCUGAAGGUAAUGUGAUCCUUUUCUUGA